UAAAAACUACUUUCGGGGAUCAUUUCCGUAGUUCGCUACUAGAGAAGUUUCUCCGGCUGUGAAGAGCACAGAAACCACAAGGAAACGGCACAGCGUUCUCUCCUGAGCGUGGAACUGGCUCUGGGGGUCAUUUUGCUGCAACUGCCACUUGCCACUCAUGAUCAUUCCUGCUCUCCUUCGGGGGACCUGGAGGGAGAGUCUGCAGUCUGAGUGGC
ensembl:snoRNA U3 Small nucleolar RNA U3